AUUGUAAGUGUGUUGGAAUACCAGAGUCGGAGACAAGAUGGAACUUUAACCCAACAGGUGUGUUUAUUAACAGUUUUGUUGCAAUGGAUAAUGGAAGGUGAGUUUAAAUUAACAAACAUACUUAGUUAAAUCAGUCUCGAUACUCAUGAAUGUUUUCCUUGUAUUAAUCAGAGAAGGAAAGCACACACUGAACAGAUGAGAUGAUGGAGGUUGCCAGGAGCUGGGGAUAGAUGAGUAUAGAGGGUUUGGAGUAUGGAGAUCAGAGGAGACGCUGGAGAACACGAGGUAGACAAAGGAGAUCUUGGAUGGAGCAUGACAAUCUCUGGUGGAGUAGAUGGUAUUGUCGUAGAGGGAAGAGCAAGAGGGAAACUGUAAGAAGACAUAAACAGAGAUGAAGUGGACAGAAGGGUGGAAGGAGAGCUAGAAGAUUCCCUGCAGAAGCAUCAGCAGAAAAAAUCUCCAGCAGCAGGACAUCAACAUGAAUGUGAUAUCUGAAUCCUUCUGAAGCCUUCAGCUCCUGCAAGAUAAAUAUGAUUUUUUUUCAAUAUCUUUAUUAAGCUCUCAGCAUAGACAUUAACAGAGAUUUGCACUUACAGAAACAUAAGUCAUAUGCAAAAAAAUUAAGCAUAAAUCAAGCAUAAAGCAUAUUUAUUUAUCAUUAAAUAUUUAUAUAAAUAUUAAAUCAACUAAAUUACUUACAUAUUACACCAUAUAAAUACAUACACACCAUGUACUGUAUGAGUAAUUAAAUAUAAAUUUGAACAAUACAGUUAAGUUAAUAUUAAAUAAUAUAACUAUGAGAAUAUAUAUUAAUUUUAAUGCUGGAAGCUUUUACAGGCAUCUAGAAACAGUUAUUAUUUCAAACAAGCAUUUAGAAAAAAGUAAAAAAAUAAAUAAAUAAAAAUAAAAACA
ensembl:lncRNA